AAUAAAUAUGACCUCAAAUACAAUGAUGGAGAUUUGGAAUCUGCCAAAAAGAAUCAUAAUUGUACUAAAAGAUUCUUUCUGGUGAUAGUUUUUCCAAAAAAAAAAAUGUGGAGGAAGAAAAUGGAGGGUAUAAUAGAGAAUUUGCAAUCACUUGGGCAUUUCUUUUUCCAUUAAAUUUAAAUAGGUAUCUCAAAAAGUAAAAUAUGUGGAAGGAAAUUCAUAGGGCUAGAUAAGUCAUUGUCUUAUAAAGUAAGCAAAAAGAAAAACCCACCUCAAAAAUUGAUUUUCCCAUCUCUUUGAUAUUGAUGUUGUGUCCCCCACACCCAAAAUAAAAAAUAAAAACUAUUUUACCAAUAAUUGUACUCAAACUUUAAAGUUUGUAUAAAUAUUGUGGCUUCUAAAAACUACUUAUUCUUUAGUUGAUUGGAGAAAAGAAGAAGGCAAUUUCAAAAAUUAAAAAUUAAAUUAAUUUUAACGUCAAUUAAGAAUAAAAAACAUGAGCCCAAAUUUGAUUUUAAGCGCAGUUCAACUGAUGAUGGCAUGAAUUUGUACUAAUUAUAGGUUGUUUGUGGUUCGAUCCAUUCACUAUACAUAUUUAUCUUAAAGGUAAAUAUUACUUUUUUGAUUCCCGAGAGAUUUAAAAUGUGUCGAGAAAAAAGACAAAAUGUUGAUGUGACAAGACGGGUUUGGAGAAAGAAUUGUAAUUUUAAUAUUUUCCUCUUCUCCCUCCUCUCCUCUCCUUUGUCUUUCCCUUGUCUCUCUAGUUCUCUUAAUACAACCACAUGACUCUCCCUUAGAAAUAUCAUAUGUCGUUUUUGAAGAAACAAAAAUGCUUGGUAGGAGUUGAACAUGUGAAUCCUUCCAUUUCUAUUGCUCCACCACCUGCGGCUUUUCAAAUGACUGAGCAACUCAUGAGCGGAAGCCAUAAACUUCAUCACUUUGCAUGUUCAUCUAUUAUCUAAAGUAGAAGGAGUUAUUGGAGAAGAGGAUAAUGACACAAAAUUUCGAAAGAACUUUCUCUAAAGAAGAAGCUGUCUUCUUCAGUUGUGCUGCUGUGAGCUUCUCUGGUUUCUUCACUUUUUCAAGUUGUUCUUGAGUCCCACAACUCUGUCUAAAGCUCCAAGAGCAUAGUAGGAAAGGCUUUGAGGUGGUUCACGUUGAUAACAAGAGUAGACAGCAGUUGAACAGGCGUUAUCUUGAAGAAUUCAUCAGAGUAUAAGCUGCAAGCCAUGCACUCCAUCACUUUGCAUGUUCAUCUAUUAUAUAAAGUAGAAUGGAGUUAUUGGAGAAGAGGAUAAUGACACAAAAUUUUGAAAGAAUUUUCUCUGAAGAAGAAGUUGUCUUCUUCAGCUGUGUUGCUGCGAGUUUCUCUGUUCACUUCUUCAAGUUGUUCUUGAGUCCCACAACUCUACCUAAAGUUCCAAGAGCAUAGUAGGGAAGGCUUUGAGGUGGUUCACGUUGAUAAUAAGAGUAUACAGCAGCUGAACUGGCGUUAUCUUGAAGAGUUCAUCAGAGGUAUGUUCAAAAAACCCAUUUUUUGGAAGAGUAUGCUUUAGUUUUUGCUAAAAUUAGUGAAUUAGAAAGCUUAUGGAUCCUUGAUACUUCCACUGCAUGUUGUUAUACUCUUUCACAAACUUCUUCAUUUUCUCUUAAGUCGGCUCAAAUACUCCUUAAGCUCGCACAAUGCAGCAUCUCUGUCUCGCAUUUGUUGGCCCAAAGUGGCAUUGGCCGUACAAUCCUUCCCAUAGUAAAUCAACACUGGAGGUUGUCGUCCAUACAAAAUCUGAAAAGGGGCAAAGCCAAUAGAAGCAUUAUACGUAGUGUUAUACCAAUGUUCUGCCCAAUGCCAUCAAUUAAUCCAUUCUCUCGGUCGCUCACCACAACAGCACCUGUAAUACAUUUUCAUGCUGCGAUUCACCACCUCUGUCUGACCAUCCGACUAAGGAUGAGAAACUGUACUGCGAUGGAGUUUGGUACUCGACAGUUGGAAUAACUCUUGCCAAAAGUGACUCACAAACUCCUUGUCUUGAUCCGAGACAAUGGACUUCGGCACCCCGUGCAGUUUAACUAUUUCUCUACAAAGUGUAUCUGUUAUAAUACCAACAUUUAAAGGGUGUUUCAGUCAACUUAUGAACUUGAAAAUAGCAGUCUACUAUGUAUAGUCACAUGUCUGGAUCGUUUCCGCUAAACAUCGGCAUUUCUACUUUCUUGAAUUCACUCCAGUCGCAAAUCACUUCUUCACUGGAUGCUUUCACCGAACUAUUUGUUCCGCACACCUUAUUGGCAUUUGAUCCUUCUACCUCUUCCGUCACCUUUGCUUUUUCUUUGGCCAUUUCUGUAACAUAAGAAAUGAACAUUUGUUGAUGUUUCUCUGCCUUCAAUCCCAAACUCUCAAUGCUCUUCGCUAACGACG